AAUCAGGUAGGACUACCCGCUGAACUUAAGCAUAUCAU
rnacentral:rRNA from 2 species